rnacentral:rRNA from 1 species
GACGAACGCUGGCGGCGUGCUUAACACAUGCAAGUCGAGCGGUAAGGCCCUUUUGGGGGUACACGAGCGGCGAACGGGUGAGUAACACGUGGGUGACCUGCCCUCAGCUCUGGGAUAAGCCUGGGAAACUGGGUCUAAUACUGGAUAUGACCUUUCCUCGCAUGGGGUUGGGUGGAAAGUUUUUCGGCUGGGGAUGGGCCCGCGGCCUAUCAGCUUGUUGGUGGGGUGAUGGCCUACCAAGGCGACGACGGGUAGCCGGCCUGAGAGGGCGACCGGCCACACUGGGACUGAGACACGGCCCAGACUCCUACGGGAGGCAGCAGUGGGGAAUAUUGCGCAAUGGGCGGAAGCCUGACGCAGCGACGCCGCGUGGGGAUGACGGCC